UCUUGGAAGAUGCGCAUAAACCAUUUUAAGUAUUUCAAUUUUUAGACAGUAUAACUAGAUUUAUCUAAAAAUCUGGCGUUUGAAGCUGUUUUAUUUACGGAAUCUAAACUACGCAAUUAACGAACCCUUGGAAAAUAUAUCCUACUCAUAGAUUUUGUUACGUGUCGGCUUGUUCCUGAUACUCUAUUAGGGCGGAUCUUCACGUGUACAGCGUGCGGACAAUUACACAACACUACAUUAAAUCUGCACAUCACUAAUCAGCUGAUUCAAACGUAAACAAAUUAAGAGUGGGAAAACAUGUAACAAAUUCUUCUAAAUCGCAAUCGGACAUAAGUCGAUGACCUUGUUGAUGUUUCCAAAGCUAACCCAUCCUGUGGUUUUUUAAGAUUAUCACCCUCUUUUAACUUUAGACUCCCUUUGGCAUCAUCUGAACGGCAUAAAGAUUCCCCUCCCCUGCAUCGACAAACUAAAGGUCAGAACGUAUACAUUUGUCCAAUCACGCAAAAAAGGAUAACAGAAAAGCACUGCCUUUUGCCACUGAAACAACACUAUCAAAUUGAAGAAUAUAUUUUGUAAACAAAUGUGGAUCAAACGAUCCACAUAUAUAUAUUAAGUAGCAUACCCACCUCUUCACCCAUUCCCUUGCACACAUGCGAUCACAUCUCAUCAGCGAUCACAACUCAGAAAUACAUAUGUAAGUAUUCUAAUAUAAUUAAAAAAAUUGUAAACAAAACACAGCCUGCAGACAACAUCGACAUAAGCCGAAAUCAAGCGAUCUACUCAUGCUGACAUAAACAUUAAACCCCAAACAACAUACCACAGUCUCCGCCAGUUUCCGCUAGAUGGCAUUCUUAAGCCUGAUUGCUGACGCAGUUUAAACUUCGGCUGAUGAAAUGCUCUCAAAGAUGUUAGCAUUAGCAAGUUAAUAAUGAAGUCCCCAUUACUGAAAAUAAAUAUUAUAUUUUUGCAGUUAAAUAACUUUCAUACAACCGUUUUCCACCCAUUUAGCACUGUUGCGAAUACAAUUUAAAAAACGCCUAAUGAAGAAUUCAGUUCUUAAGUAGGGAUGUAAAAAUAAGUUCAAACUUAAAGUAUCCUUCAAGAAUUGGUUGAUUCGCGUUUUCCGACGAAACACGUCUCAAAUUAAUUUGCAAUAAAUAAAAAAUUUAAAAAAAACGAAAA